AUUGAACGCUGGCGGCAUGCCUUACACAUGCAAGUCGAACGGUAACGGGCCUUCGGGUGCCGACGAGUGGCGAACGGGUGAGUAAUGCAUCGGAACGUACCUUUCAGUGGGGGAUAACGUAGCGAAAGUUACGCUAAUACCGCAUAUUCUGUGAGCAGGAAAGCAGGGGAUCGCAAGACCUUGCGCUGAUUGAGCGGCCGAUGUCAGAUUAGCUAGUUGGUGAGGUAAAGGCUCACCAAGGCUACGAUCUGUAGCGGGUCUGAGAGGAUGAUCCGCCACACGGGAACUGAGACACGGUCCAGACGCCUACGGGAGGCAGCAGUGGGGAAUGUGGGACAAUGGGGGCAACCCUGAUUCAGCCAUGCCGCGUGAGUGAAGAAGGCCUUCGGGUUGUAAAGCUCUUUCGGUCGGGAAGAAAUCGCAUGGGUUAAUACCCUGUGCGGAUGACGGUACCGGCAUAAGAAGCACCGGCUAACUACGUGCCAGCCGCCGCAGUAACAC
rnacentral:rRNA from 1 species